rnacentral:rRNA from 1 species
GAGUGCAGAAGAGGAGAGCGGAAUUCCACGUGUAGCGGUGAAAUGCGUAGAGAUGUGGAGGAACACCAGUGGCGAAGGCGGCUCUCUGGUCUGUAACUGACGCUGAGGCGCGAAAGCGUGGGGAGCGAACAGGAUUAGAUACCCUGGUAGUCCACGCCGUAAACGAUGAGUGCUAAGUGUUAGAGGGUUUCCGCCCUUUAGUGCUGCAGCAAACGCAUUAAGCACUCCGCCUGGGGAGUACGGCCGCAAGGCUGAAACUCAAAGGAAUUGACGGGGGCCCGCACAAGCGGUGGAGCAUGUGGUUUAAUUUGAAGCAACGCGAAGAACCUUACCAGGUCUUGACAUCCUCUGACAACCCUAGAGAUAGGGCGUUCCCCUUCGGGGGACAGAGUGACAGGUGGUGCAUGGUUGUCGUCAGCUCGUGUCGUGAGAUGUUGGGUUAAGUCCCGCAACGAGCGCAACCCUUGAUUUUAGUUGCCAGCAUUCAGUUGGGCACUCUAAGGUGACUGCCGGUGACAAACCGGAGGAAGGUGGGGAUGACGUCAAAUCAUCAUGCCCCUUAUGACCUGGGCUACACACGUGCUACAAUGGAUGGAACAAAGGGCCGCAAAACCGCGAGGUCGAGCCAAUCCCAUAAAUCCAUUCUCAGUUCGGAUUGACAGGCUGCAACUCGCCUGCAUGAAGCCGGAAUCGCUAGUAAUCGCGGAU